GCUUUUUAAAAUUAAUCAGCCUCAUCAAGUCGAUAGAGUUCCCGUCUCUAUCGCAAGACCAGGCUUAGGGU
rnacentral:misc_RNA from 1 species